ensembl:snoRNA
AUUCUUUUGUGGUUCCUAAGUAUGGUGAGUGGAUUUUCACUUUGUUGUGUGAGAGGUGCCUCCCUCUAACUUUGUUACCAUGUUUAUACUCUAUCCAUCUGAUU